UACGUAGGGUCCGAGCGUUGUCCGGAAUUAUUGGGCGUAAAGGGCUCGUAGGCGGUUCGUCACGUCGGGAGUGAAAACUCGGGGCUUAACCCCGAGCCUGCUUCCGAUACGGGCAGACUAGAGGUAGGCAGGGGAGAGCGGAACUCCUGGUGUAGCGGUGGAAUGCGCAGAUAUCAGGAAGAACACCAAUGGCGAAGGCAGCUCUCUGGGACGGUACUGACGCUGAGACGCGAAAGCGUGGGGAGCGAACAGG
rnacentral:rRNA from 1 species